GUGGGGAAUCUUGCGCAAUGGGCGAAAGCCUGACGCAGCCAUGCCGCGUGAAUGAUGAAGGUCUUAGGAUUGUAAAAUUCUUUCACCGGGGACGAUAAUGACGGUACCCGGAGAAGAAGCCCCGGCUAACUUCGUGCCAGCAGCCGCGGUAAUACGAAGGGGGCUAGCGUUGCUCCGAAUUACUGGGCGUAAAGGGCGCGUAGGCGGACAGUUUAGUCAGAGGUGAAAGCCCAGGGCUCAACCUUGGAAUUGCCUUUGAUACUGGCUGUCUUGAGUACGGGAGAGGUGAGUGGAACUCCGAGUGUAGAGGUGAAAUUCGUAGAUAUUCGGAAGAACACCAGUGGCGAAGGCGACUCACUGGCCCGUUACUGACGCUGAGGCGCGAAAGCGUGGGGAGCAAACAGGAUUAGAUACCCCAGUAGUCC
rnacentral:rRNA from 1 species